CCUUGGAGGCAGCAGUGGGGAAUCUUGCACAAUGGGCGAAAGCCUGAUGCAGCGACGCCGCGUGCGGGACGAAGGCCCUCGGGUUGUAAACCGCUUUCAGCAGGGACGAGGCGAGAGUGACGGUACCUGCAGAAGAAGCCCCGGCUAACUACGUGCCAGCAGCCGCGGUAAU
rnacentral:rRNA from 1 species